AUACUUACCCGAGAUAAAUAGAUGAUUAUGAAGGUCUAUGACCUAGGCUAGUGAUUUUCAUUGCAUUUAGAAAUAGUACUCCUCUAAAGUCUAUCCAAAUAACAAAGCCUAUGUCAUAAUUUGUGGUAGUGGGCUUUGCGUUUGCACACCCACU